AUGCUAGGGGAGCUGACGCUGAGAGUAUCCGCUUAUUGCGGAUUAGACCCUCACCACCUGAUACGGUUAAUGCCGGCGUAGGGAAGCAUAUUUUUUAU
rnacentral:ncRNA from 1 species